GACUCUGUAGAUUAAAAAGAUUCUUAAAUUGCAAAUUUAAAGGUACAGUUUUGUUAGAGUUU
rnacentral:tRNA from 1 species